rnacentral:misc_RNA from 1 species
UGCUCGGGCAGCGACGGCAUCUCCAACUUGCCUCUUCAAUCAUCGGCACGAGCGCUCUCUUUGCCUCGGCCGAUGUCGGUUUCCCGUGUUGGAUACCCGAUGCGAAGGCAUUCCAUUCGGCUAAGUUGUCCCGAUUCUAUCCCUCAUCCUUGUGCCUUUCGGCGCUUGCGGUGCGGAUGGACCCCGGAGCACCCGCCGUGUCGUCCCGAUCCGUGCGCUCCCGAAUGGGUUCCCGGUUCGACGAUCCACGGCGGCGUGCUCGAUCUCUCGGAUGCGGAACACUCGUGGGUAUGAGGCAAAAGUCCUCCUAUUGUCCCGAAAAAUGGCUUCUUGCGAACGACGGUCGUUCCGGUUUUGAACCCUCGCCCCCGCGGCGUCGAUCAUGCCGGGACGACGUCGGUGAGGAAUGCUACCUGGUUGAUCCU